UACGUAGGUGGCAAGCGUUGUCCGGAAUUAUUGGGCGUAAAGCGCGCGCAGGCGGCCUUUUAAGUCUGAUGUGAAAUCUUGCGGCCCAACCGCAAGCGGUCAUUGGAAACUGGAGGGCUUGAGUACAGAAGAGGAGAGUGGAAUUCCACGUGUAGCGGUGAAAUGCGUAGAUAUGUGGAGGAACACCAGUGGCGAAGGCGACUCUCUGGUCUGUAACUGACGCUGAGGCGCGAAAGCGUGGGGAGCAAACAGG
rnacentral:rRNA from 1 species